rnacentral:lncRNA from 1 species
AAGCACUCGGAGAUGUCCCUCUUCUCCAGAGUCCACAGUUCCCUUUGCUUUCAUAAUAUUUCCCCUAGUUGAGGAUGGUCUUGGCCUCCAUAGGUAUUAACUUUCCACUAGAUCCAUUAGUUGUACAGAUUAUGUUAGUCACCUCUUAUGUCGAUGCCGGCCAUCAUCAGCAGCUUCUUGGGCACAGGGGCGGAGACGAUGCCGGUGCCUCUGGGGGCAGGGAUGAGGCGCACCAGCACAGAGCCGCAGCGGCCAGUCACCUUGCAAGGAACCGUGUGGGGCUUGCCGAUCUUGUUCCCCCAGUAGCCUCUUCGCACGGGGACGAUGGACAGCUUGGCCAGGAUGAUGGCCCCACGGAUGGCAGUGGCUACUUCCUUGGAGCACUUAGAAUAUUAAAUCACUAUGUGACUUGAUGCUGGAUGUUAUAAGAGUCAUAGAGUCUUAGGUUUGGGCAUACACAACCACAAUCCAUUGUGUAAUUAGAGUGAUAUAUAUGGAACCAGAUUUUAAUAGAUUCAAGGUACGUUUGGAGAAGGCAAUGACACCCCACUCCAGUACUCUUGCCUGGAAAAUCCCAUGGACAGAGGAGCCUGGUAGGCUGCAGUCCAUGGGGUCACGAAAAGUCAGACACAACUGAGCGACUUCACUUCACUAAGGUACAUUAAUGAAUGAACAGUCUAAGCUCCCACAUGUUACCUACUUCUACUGAGCUAUCAUUUCUCCCUGAACCUACAUCAUGAUGAUUAUGCUUAAACAACUAGUGGAGGAAGAAAGAAUUCUGACUCAGUUCCCAAAAGGGUUGGAUUGCACAGUGACGUUAUUUGAAAGUAGAUUGUUGCUACUCACUUGAUGAUGGCUCUCCAGGAGUUGAUUACCACCUUAGAAUAUCGGGAGAUGUGGCCUGAGGUAUAGAUACUCACUCUUGGGCAGUGGGGAAUAGUUCAUCUGAGUGAUCAAACUUCUAAAAGGAACAAGCCUAGUAGAUCUAGGACAGAGGAAUGUGAAAGAGGUAUAUAAAUGGAUCUCUAUGAAAGAUAGCAAAUGUUAUUUAUUUUUUUUUAUUAUGUUAUUUUUUUCUGUUA